UCAGAACGAACGCUGGCGGCGUGCUUAACACAUGCAAGUCGGAUGCGAACGGCGCUUUCGGGCGUUGAGUAGCAUGGCAGACGGGUGAGGAGCGCGUAUCUGACUGGACUCAGGCUGGGGGAUAGUCCCUCGAAAGGGGGUUGAAUACCGCAUGUGCUCGGUGCUGUGAGGGCAUCGAGGAAAGUUGGCCUCUGCGGGCACGCUGAUGGCCUGAGACAGGGAUGCGUCCUAUUAGCUAGCUGGUGGGGUAAGGGCCUACCAGGGCGACGAUGGGUAGCUGGUCUGAGAGGAUGAUCAGCCACACUGGGACUGCGACACGGCCCAGACUCCUACGGGAGGCAGCAGUGGGGAAUUUUGCGCAAUGGGCGCAAGCCUGACGCAGCAACGCCGCGUGCAUGACGACGCCUUUCGAGGUGUAAAGUGCUGUCGACCGGGACGAAGGGGCGAGGGUGAACAGCUUUCGCGCAUGACGGUACCGGUGGAGGAAGCCCCGGCUAACUCCGUGCCAGCAGCCGCGGUAAGACGGAGGGGGCGAGCGUUGUUCGGAAUUACUGGGCGUAAAGCGCGCGUAGGCGGUGCAGCAAGUGGUGCGUGAAAGCCCUCGGCUUAACCGGGGACGGGCGUGCCAAACUGUUGGACUGGAGUGCCGGAGGGGGAGGCGGAAUUCCUGGUGGAGCGGUGAAAUGCGUAGAGAUCAGGAAGAACGUCGGUGGCGAAGGCGGCCUCCUGGACGGACACUGACGCUGAGGUGCGACAGCGUGGGGAGCGAACGGGAUUAGAUACCCCGGUAGUCCACGCCGUAAACGAUGGGUACUAGGUGUGGGGCUUGUGAUGAGGCCCGUGCCGGAGCUAACGCAGUAAGUACCCCGCCUGGGGAGUACGGUCGCAAGGCUGAAACUCAAGGGAAUUGACGGGGGCCCGCACAAGCGGUGGAGCAUGUGGUUUAAUUCGACGCAACGCGCAGAACCUUACCCCCAGGUUUGACAUGCA
rnacentral:rRNA from 1 species